UCUUGAUAUUUUUGGUGUCUUUUACAGAAC
rnacentral:piRNA from 1 species